UUUGGCUCAGAUACUCACAAACGAAGUAAGAACUCUCCCCACCUCUUCAGAUUUUUGCUGUCAAUUUGAGAGAAUUUGAAAAAUGCUAGAAUCAGUUCUGUGAUAUACCAUACCGACUUAAAUUUGUGAUAGUAAUCGAUUGCGCGCAGUCCAAUUAGUCUAGACGGUCUAGACCAAAAGGGUCGAUUCUGAAGCAGAAAAACUUUUUACUUCGAAACUCACGUAAAUCGUAAUGCUUAUCCGUUUGCAUUUUUCGGUCCAUUUCGGAACGAUUCUGAAAAAUACUGCCCUAACUUCACCCGCUCCACAUCGACAAAUUAAAUAAUCUUUGUGCUGUCAAUGUCGUGUAAAAUUUAUACAAAUGUGAGGGUACAUAGAUCGCAUCACAUAGCAAUUGUUAGUUUUUUAGUGAUAGUAGUUAUACUACUUUCACGUGAUAACCGUCAAUAAUAGUAUCAAAUAUGUACUGUGUCGUAUAAUGAUAUAUUACAAUACGAAUGUAAGAUACAAAAAGUCUAUAAUUCAAUUAAAUGACGGCCAAAAUCCGUAUUGACCAGUGUUCUUACUAAGAGUAUCAUUGCUGGGUACAAAAGCAGUUGUACAGUUGGCAUACGGUCGAAAUUUCAAUACUCCGGUAGUCAAACAGAUUCCAUCAUUGUUUUGUGGCCUCAUUAUUGAUUAGGUUAGGAUUAGUAGUCAUCAGAGUCAUCACUUGGUAAAUUUGGUUAACAUUCCGUAUCAUACGAUAGUAGCGUAGUCAUUCAUGCCGUUUAGUUUGCGAAAUUAGUGCAGUGAAUCUCCUCUCGGGACGAAAGAAUUUCAUAUAAUGUUUGUAACUCGCCUGCAGUCAAAUUGUUUCAAAUAUCAGUAGCCAUGGUGGAUCUUAAUGAUUACGAGCGUCACGUUUGCGAAAUAAAGCGUUACGCAUUCGAAAAAAAUAUUCCCGAAUCGGAAGUAAACAAAGUUUUUGAAGAAUGUUUUCAACUAUUAAAGAUAAGUGGUAAUGAAAAACGCUCCACCUCGUCAAGUGCUGUUUUCAAAUAUACAUUACUUAUUACGCUUCUCUCCGUAUUAUGUGGCAUCAUAUCCUACAAUCAUCCCCCUACUAUGAACCUGCUGAUGAGAAAUUCACAGAAUUUUAUUUACCCGGGAAUGAAGUUUUUCCGCCAAUUGGCUGUCCCAAUAUUAGAUAUAUACCCCUCAAUAACUGAAUGGUAUGAUGAAUGGUGCCUGCUGGAAAAUCCAUAUUUUCAGGUCGCUGAUAUGGAUUGUCAGCCUUGCAAUUCAGUUCAUUCGAUUCCAGACUUGAGUGGUCGGAAUAUUUCUUGGUCAUUGAAUGUUGCGCUACCAUUCACAAGAUCCAAAUCUAUGAGAAAAGUAACUUUCAUAGACCUAGUGGAUAUGUACACUGCGUACAAAAAAGUCUUCGACGAAGAUUCAGGGAGAAUUACUUCUAACAAUAAUUCUUACAGAGUCAUUAACGAUGUUGCAACAAACCGACUGGAUUUGUAUCCCACACCGUUCAAAACUACUCACAUUACCUGGAGGAUGAACCGCAUGAAGCCUGGACGACUUUUGAGAAAACUCUUUCCCAAACCAGCUAUAACGCCAGAUUGGUGGGGCCAGAGUACAGAGAAAUUUGUUAUGAUUGACGAGCCAAAAUCUCCGGCUUAUAUUUUAGUAAUUACAUUGAGUUUACGCCCAAUUCAGAGUGCAGCAAUGUGGUACUAAGAUGUGGGAGCGGUGAACGAUUGAUAAAGCUAGUACCAAGUCCUGAAUGUCAGCAAGAAUGCAGAUCAUCGACAGUAUUAUUAACAGCUAGACAAACAUUAUGGUACAAUUGGUGGUACUGGCGCCCAGUCAGUCUCCCUGCAGUAAACUCUACUUCGAUUUCCAUAAGCUAUCUCACGUCAUUUUGCUGAAUUUUACCUUUUUUUUUUUAUUAUGAAAAUUCAUAUUCACGCUGAAAAUAAUUUUAACAAGACGAGGAAAACUCGUUACGUACUGAUGAAAAAUGAUGUGAAAUUUAUUCAGAUACUAAGAACGGAUUUUUAUGCAAGAAUGGUUGUAUAUUGCAAAUUUGGUCAAUAUAUGGUUUACACUUUU
rnacentral:misc_RNA from 1 species